rnacentral:lncRNA from 1 species
AAUUCAGAAAGACAUCGUGCUCAGUAUCUCAAUCAAACUUUAUCUCAAGCACCUGUUUCACACAUUGUGAGUCAUCUCUUAUAUUACAUCAUGCAUCAUCUCAACAUCAAUCAAACACCAGAAUCUCAUAAAGCAAUACUCAUCGCACAAAACAACAUAGUUGAAUCAAAGCAGUUCCAUCCAUCCAAGCAGAGCACAAUAAAAAUAAAAAUAAAAUAAAACAAAAAAAAAUUAAAAUUAAAAAGUAAAAGUUCAGAGAACUGGGUUGCCUCCCAACAAGCGCUUCUUUAACGUCACUAGCUUGACCCAAUCUCCACCAUUAUAGCAUCCAUCAGUAGAUGAAGUUAGUAACGUCCAUCAGUAGAUGCCUAAUCACCUAACAUCCUUUAGUAGAUGUCUAGUCACCUUCCUCUUCCAUAGCAACAUCCAUCAGUAGAUGUUGUAGAAGCAUCCAUCAAUUAAUGCUGUCAUUACUGCCAUCAGAAGGAGCAUAUACCUAAAAAAAAAGAACUCAAACACACAAAAACAAACUCAAAUCUAAAUCACACAAAUAAUAAAUUAAAAAGAAAAAAUAAAAUAAAAUAAAACAAAAUAAAAGAAAAAAAAAAUUAGGGACUAGGUUCAAGAUAUUUUUCUCUUUUUGUUGAUUGUUUUUAGGAUUUUAAUAUAAUUAAGAACCUGUUGUAGUGUCCCAAUCAUAGGAACUUUAAUCUCCAAUUUCUUAAAGAUUUUCAUGAAACGCUCAAACUAUUUUUCUUUUUUCUUCCUAUGAUCCUUCUUUGGGUGAGGAAGGGGUUUUUCAUAUGAUUCUUUCUUUUUGCUUUCAUCCUUCCCCUCUCUCUUUUUCUCGUUGGGACACUCCUUAGCGUACAAAGGACUUUUCUCAAUUUUUUUCUUUUCUCUCUCAACCCCUCCUUUUUCUUCCUCUACAUCAUUCUUUUUUUCACUCAGACAUUCUUUUUCUUCUCUCUCUAUUUUUCUCUCAUCCUCUUUCUUUUCUGUGACAACUCAUAGCCCGAUUAGUUGCAAAAUGGUACACUUAGGUUUAUGGCCUUAAUUACUGUGACACUUUCUCUC